rnacentral:tRNA from 1 species
UGGGGCGUGGUGCAAUGGCAGCACACCGGACUUUGAAUCCGUGGAUCUAGGUUCGAAUCCUGGCGCCCCAGCCA